rnacentral:rRNA from 1 species
UACGUAGGGUGCAGGCGUUAAUCGGAAUUACUGGGCGUAAAGCGUGCGCAGGCGGUUUGCUAAGACAGGUGUGAAAUCCCCGGGCUUAACCUGGGAACUGCGCUUGUAACUGGCAAGCUAGAGUGUGGCAGAGGGGGGUGGAAUUCCACGUGUAGCAGUGAAAUGCGUAGAUAUGUGGAGGAACAUCGAUGGCGAAGGCAGCCCCCUGGGUUAACACUGACGCUCAUGCACGAAAGCGUGGGGAGCAAACAGG